CGGCGAGUGAAGCGGCAAAAGCUCAAAUUUGAAAUCUGGUACCUUUGGUGCCCGAGUUGUAAUUUGGAGAGUACCACUUUGGGACUGUACUUUGCCUAUGUUCCUUGGAACAGGACGUCAUGGAGGGUGAGAAUCCCGUGUGGCGAGGGUGUCAGUUCUUUGUAAAGGGUGCUCGAAGAGUCGAGUUGUUUGGGAAUGCAGCUCUAAGUGGGUGGUAAAUUCCAUCUAAAGCUAAAUACAGGCGAGAGACCGAUAGCGAACAAGUACAGUGAUGGAAAGAUGAAAAGAACUUUGAAAAGAGAGUGAAAAAGUACGUGAAAUUGUUGAAAGGGAAGGGCAUUUGAUCAGACAUGGUGUUUUGCGCCCCUUGCCUCUCGUGGGCUUGGGACUCUCGCAGCUCACUGGGCCAGCAUCGGUUUUGGCGGCCGGAAAAAACCUAGGGAAUGUGGCUCUGCGCCUCGGUGUAGAGUGUUAUAGCCCUGGGGAAUACGGCCAGCCGGGACCGAGGACUGCGAUACUUGUUAUCUAGGAUGCUGGCAUAAUGGUUAUAUGCCGCCCGU
rnacentral:rRNA from 1 species